GGGGGCCGAAUACUUUUGCAAGCCACUGUAUGUGCCUCAGGGAAGGUCUGAGACUGGAGCUCCUAGUUGCCCCUGCAGGGCAUCCCUUGGAUGAAGGGGGUGGGUCCCCAGAGAACUUGACUCUGAUUGCCAAUAGGAUACCCCGCUAAUGGAGAUAACGUAUUACCAAUAGGAUACCCCGCUGGCGGAGAUAAUGUAUUGCCAAUAGGAUACCCCGCUGGCGGAGAUAAUGUAUUGCCAAUAGGAUACCCCGCUAAUGGAGAUAACGUAUUGCCAAUAGGAUACCCCGCUGGUGGAGAUAACGUAUUGCCAAUAGG
rnacentral:RNase_P_RNA from 2 species